GCGUGCUAUACAUGCAGUCGAGCGGACGGAUGGGAGCUUGCUCCCUGAAGUCAGCGGCGGACGGGUGAGUAACACGUGGGCAACCUGCCUGUAAGACUGGGAUAACUCCGGGAAACCGGGGCUAAUACCGGAUAACUCUUUUCCUCACAUGAGGAAAAGCUGAAAGAUGGUUUCGGCUAUCACUUACAGAUGGGCCCGCGGCGCAUUAGCUAGUUGGUGAGGUAACGGCUCACCAAGGCCACGAUGCGUAGCCGACCUGAGAGGGUGAUCGGCCACACUGGGACUGAGACACGGCCCAGACUCCUACGGGAGGCAGCAGUAGGGAAUCUUCCGCAAUGGACGAAAGUCUGACGGAGCAACGCCGCGUGAGUGAUGAAGGUUUUCGGAUCGUAAAACUCUGUUGUCAGGGAAGAACAAGUACCGGAGUAACUGCCGGUACCUUGACGGUACCUGACCAGAAAGCCACGGCUAACUACGUGCCAGCAGCCGCGGUAAUACGUAGGUGGCAAGCGUUGUCCGGAAUUAUUGGGCGUAAAGCGCGCGCAGGCGGUUCCUUAAGUCUGAUGUGAAAGCCCCCGGCUCAACCGGGGAGGGUCAUUGGAAACUGGGGAACUUGAGUGCAGAAGAGAAGAGUGGAAUUCCACGUGUAGCGGUGAAAUGCGUAGAGAUGUGGAGGAACACCAGUGGCGAAGGCGACUCUUUGGUCUGUAACUGACGCUGAGGCGCGAAAGCGUGGGGGAGCAAACAGGAUUAGAUACCCUGGUAGUCCACGCCGUAAAACGAUCAGUGCUAA
rnacentral:rRNA from 1 species